rnacentral:rRNA from 2 species
UGGGGGAUAUUGCGCAAUGGGGGAAACCCUGACGCAGCAACGCCGCGUGAAGGAUGAAGGUUUUCGGAUUGUAAACUUCUUUGACGAGGGACGAUAAUGACGGUACCUCGAAAACAAGCCACGGCUAACUACGUGCCAGCAGCCGCGGUAAUACGUAGGUGGCAAGCGUUGUCCGGAUUUACUGGGUGUAAAGGGCGAGUAGGCGGGGCCUCAAGUCUGAUGUGAAAACUAUCGGCUUAACUGAUAGACUGCAUUGGAAACUGAGGUUCUUGAGUGAUGGAGAGGCAGGCGGAAUUCCUAGUGUAGCGGUGAAAUGCGUAGAUAUUAGGAGGAACACCAGUGGCGAAGGCGGCCUGCUGGACAUUAACUGACGCUGAGGCGCGAAAGCGUGGGGAGCAAACAGG